rnacentral:lncRNA from 1 species
AUGAGUGACCUUGACCUUGUUCUGGGCAGAGAGAUAAUCUAUCUGUGUGAACUGUCUCAAAGUCAAGGAUCAGAGCUGGCAGGGAGAGAACAGAACACUGGUGAGCUCAGCAGGCCACUGCUUGUCCUUUCCAGCUGCUGUGUCCAGGGUCAUUACAAUUUCAGCAUCUCUCCCUAAGGUAUCCGUGAACAAAAAGAGCUUUAGACAGCUUGACACAAUUUUCUAAUACACCUAUACAUUUACAAUUACACAGAUGUACACAAAUGUACGAAUGUAUAGAUUAGGGUUUAUGUAAUCAUUAAGUAUAUUACCUUUUUUCUCAAGGAAUUUACUUCUUGAAGAAUGCAGAUUAAAAUGUGCAACUGAUAUAAGUGCUCUGAUUAACUGGGUGUUCCUGAAUAUACAACGUUGUGCUUUGAGUGUGGUUUAAUUAUUUAAUUAGUCUUCCAAGGGUCCUUAUGCUAAGUACUUGGUCCAUAGAGUGGUGGUCUUAGGAAGGGACACUUAAAAG